rnacentral:rRNA from 1 species
GAGGUUCAACGGCCGCGGUAUUCUGACCGUGCAAAGGUAGCAUAAUCACUUGUUUCUUAAUUAGGGACUAGAAUGAACGGCAAAACGAGGGUUUAACUGUCUCUUAUUUCUUAUCAGUGAAAUUGACCUUCCCGUGAAGAGGCGGGAAUAAACAAAUAAGACGAGAAGACCCUAUGGAGCUUUAAUUUACCAACUCAUCUCUUUCUUUUUUCAAUCUAAUGAACUAACUUUUAGAUCUUUGAGUUAGAAAUUUCGGUUGGGGUGACCUCGGAGAAUAAAAAAACCUCCGAAAGAUUUUAGCUUAGACUGACAAGCCAAAGCACAAACUUUUAAUCAAAUUGACCCAAUUACUUGAUCAACGAACCAAGUUACCCUAGGGAUAACAGCGCUAUCUUAUUUGAGAGUUCCUAUCGAAAAUAGGGUUUACGACCUCGAUGUUGGAUCAGGAUGUCCUAA